AUGCAAUUGGUACGGUCUAGCAAGACUGCGAUAAACAUUAAUGGAGAGGUGGGACCUUUCUUUGCGGCAUCAGCGGGGGAGAAGCAAGGGGACCCGAUAUCCCCCCUUCUCUUCAACCUUGCCGUGGACGCAUUGGCAGGUAUCCUGGACAAGGCUAGGCAUGCCGGCCACAUCUCGGGGGUGGUCGGCCACCUCAUUCCGGGAGGGGGGGUCUCUCACCUUCAGUACGCCGAUGACACCAUGAUUAUGGUG
rnacentral:rRNA from 1 species